rnacentral:rRNA from 1 species
ACGGGAGGCAGCAGUGAGGAAUAUUGGUCAAUGGAGGCAACUCUGAACCAGCCAUCUCGCGUGAAGGAAUACGGCCCUACGGGUCUUAAACUUCUUUUAUAGGGGGAUAAAGUGACCUACGUGUAGGUUUUUGCAUGUACCGUAAGAAUAAGGACCGGCUAAUUCCGUGCCAGCAGCCGCGGUAAUACGGAAGGUCCGGGCGUUAUCCGGAUUUAUUGGGUUUAAAGGGAGCGUAGGCCGUGCUUUAAGCGUGUUGUGAAAUGUAGGCGCCCAACGUCUGCACUGCAGCGCGAACUGGAGCACUUGAGUACGCAGGAAGUAGGCGGAAUUCGUCGUGUAGCGGUGAAAUGCUUAGAUAUGACGAAGAACUCCGAUUGGGAAGCCAGCUUACUGUAGCGCCACUGACGCUGAUGCUCGAAAGCGUGGGUAUCGAACAGGAUUAGAUACCCUGGUA